AUACGUAGGGGGCGAGCGUUGUCCGGAAUGAUUGGGCGUAAAGGGCGCGUAGGCGGCGCGGUAAGUCUGGAGUGAAAGUCCUGCUUUCAAGGUGGGAAUUGCUUUGGAUACUGCCGCGCUUGAGUGCAGGAGAGGUUAUCGGAAUUCCCGGUGUAGCGGUGAAAUGCGUAGAGAUUGGGAGGAACACCAGUGGCGAAGGCGACUUACUGGGCCGUAACUGACGCUGAGGCGCGAAAGCGUGGGGAGCGAACAGGAUUAGAUACCCUGGUAGUCCACGCUGUAAACGAUGAAUGCUAGGUGUAGGGGGUAUCGACCCCUCCUGUGCCGGAGUAAACGCAAUAAGCAUUCCGCCUGGGGAGUACGGCCGCAAGGUUGAAACUCAAAUGAAUUGACGGGG
rnacentral:rRNA from 1 species